rnacentral:rRNA from 1 species
GACGAACGCUGGCGGCGUGCUUAACACAUGCAAGUCGAACGGAAAGGCCCUGCUUUUGUGGGGUGCUCGAGUGGCGAACGGGUGAGUAACACGUGAGUAACCUGCCCUUGACUUUGGGAUAACUUCAGGAAACUGGGGCUAAUACCGGAUAGGAGCUCCUGCUGCAUGGUGGGGGUUGGAAAGUUUCGGCGGUUGGGGAUGGACUCGCGGCUUAGCAGCUUGUUGGAUGGGUAGUGGCUUACCAAGGCUUUGACGGGUAGCCGGCCUGAGAGGGUGACCGGCCACAUUGGGACUGAGAUACGGCACAGACUCCUACGGGAGGCAGCAGUGGGGAAUAUUGCACAAUGGGCUGAAGCCUGAUGCAGCAACGCCGCGUGCGGGAUGACGGCCUUCGGGUUGUAAACCGCUUUCGCCUGUGACGAAGCGUGAGUGACGGUAAUGGGUAAAGAAGCACCGGCUAACUACGUG